CUAUUACCCGUGCACAGGACUGCCUAAUGUCUAUUCUGGGAAUGGUUAUUUCCCUGCUCUUGCAGACAAAUCACCUGAUUUGAACUGUGUACGAGAUAAAGUUAUGCAAGCUUCUGCGUGCUCGGAGUCCCCACUCUCAUGUUGUUGGAGCAGUGACAUACAUGUGGCGGCUAUCCUCAAUAGGGAGUAGCAAAUUGGAGGCCAAAGAAGAAAAUUUGUUCAAUUCUGAAACUAAAUUUAGUGAAGGAGGCCGAAGUUCAUUACAACGCCAAUAUGGAUCCAUCCUAUUGCGUUGGGUGAAGAUGCAAGAUUCCGGUGUUCUGAAGUCAUGGGAUGCAACGCUAUGCAAU